CCUUGCCCUAGAAGUAUUGCAGGUGUGGCUGCUGUCACAUGUCCGCCACUAGGUGGCAGAGAAGAGAGGCUAUGUCUAUGCUCAGUGUUCUGACCUGUGAACAUCUAGAUGAUUAGGAAGUAGCCUGACAUC
ensembl:snoRNA small nucleolar RNA SNORA17